GGAGAGUCCCAGGCAAACGGGGACAAGUUGGUCACCUUAGCCAUUGUUCUCUUAAAAAGGCAGAUAAAAACAAAAAAAAAAAAAAAAAAUCUCUCUUAUUAACCCAAUUCGUUUACUAAAAACAGAAAACAAAAUUUAUUUAAUAAUAUAUCCUUUUUCUACUGACUUGAGAUCAUUACAUAAACCUAAUCCCUUUGUCUGUUUACUAUUGGGCCAACACCAUUCAGUUUUAAUGUG
rnacentral:lncRNA from 12 species